rnacentral:rRNA from 1 species
UACGUAGGGUGCAAGCGUUGUCCGGAAUUAUUGGGCGUAAAGAGCUCGUAGGCGGUUUGUCGCGUCUGCUGUGAAAACCCGAGGCUCAACCUCGGGCCUGCAGUGGGUACGGGCAGACUAGAGUGCGGUAGGGGAGAUUGGAAUUCCUGGUGUAGCGGUGAAAUGCGCAGAUAUCAGGAGGAACACCGGUGGCGAAGGCGGGUCUCUGGGCCGUAACUGACGCUGAGGAGCGAAAGCAUGGGUAGCGAACAGG